CCGCUCAGAGGUAAACGGGUGGAGUUGAACUGCGAACCCUGAGAAUUCAACUGGUGAGUGUGGUAUGAGCUUGGCAUGAAGGUUGGCUCUGCGGGUCUGCUUAGCUGCAGGUCUUCGCCUUUUGGUGGAGAUGCGCGAUACACUUGUCAAGUGGUGCGCGCUCGUUGAGUUUCUCGGACAUACUUGCCAGUGCACUUUCUCGGGGUGUUCACCACGACCGGCGCCGCUACUUGUCCAAUAUGGUUAAACCGGUCUUGCUUGGUCCCUGUGGCUUUGCUUGAUCGGGAUGGCAGGUAACUCGUUGACUUGUGUGUUGACCUCGGUUGGCAUGCGCUUGGUUUUCGAGUGUAAUCAGCUGACUGUAUUGGUGCUAUGUGGUGCGUCGGAGACGGCGGCUUGUGGUGUGUGCCUGCGUGCCUAUUUGCUGACGGAACCGGGUUUGGUUAUUAUGUUGCCUGUUUUGCAGGCCUGGUGAUGGCUCGGUUUCGCUUGGUGGAUGGGAGCGUGGGUGACACUUAUCAGGGCCUAUAGUCUGUGGUGUUGUGGUAGACUAUCCACCUGACCCGUCUUGAAACACGGACCAAGGAGAGUAACAUGUGCGCGAGUCAUGGGGUGUUACGAAACCCAAAGGCGAAGUGAAAGUAAAGACUUGACUUGUUCGAGUUGAGGUGAGAUCCUGUCGUUUCUCAUGCGCGGUACUUCCAAGCAUUCGAGCGAUGGGCGCAUCACCGGCCCGUCCCAUGGUGUGGUCACUGUCUUCGGAUUGGUGCGUCACCGGGGCGGAGCAUGAGCGCACAUGUUGAGACCCGAAAGAUGGUGAACUAUGCUUGCGCAGGUUGAAGCCAGAGGAAACUCUGGUGGAGGACCGUAGCGAUUCUGACGUGCAAAUCGAUCGUCAAACGUGAGUAUAGGGGCGAAAGACU
rnacentral:rRNA from 1 species